CAAGGAGUCUAACAUCUAUGUGAGUGUUUGGGUGUCAAGCCCAGACGCGUAAUGAAAGUGAACGGAGGUGGGAACCCUUUGGGUGCACCAUCGACCGAUCCUGAUGUUUUCGGAAGGAUUUGAGUAAGAGCAUGGCUGUUGGGACCCGAAAGAUGGUGAACUAUGCUUGAAUAGGGUGAAGCCAGAGGAAACUCUGGUGGAGGCUCGCACCGGUUCUGACGUGCAAAUCGAUCGUCAAAUUUGGGCAUAGGGGCGAAAGACUAAUCGAACUAUCUAGUAUCUGGUUCCUGCCGAAGUUUCCCUCAGGAUAGCAGUAACGUAUUCAGUUUUAUGAGGUAAAGCGAAUGAUUAGAGGCCUG
rnacentral:rRNA from 1 species